GUCUGUCUGUCUCAGUUGGAAGAGUAUGAGAUGCCUAAUCUUGGGGUCAUGGGUUCGAGCCCCACGUGGGAUG